CGGGCGGCCGUGACCCUGCUGGAGUCCAGGGGGGACCUCCAGCCCCCCGGGGGGUCCCUGCGCCUCCUCUGCCGAGGGGAGGGAUUCGAGUUCGGGACAGUUUGGUUGGCCUGGCUGCGCCAAAGGCCCGGGAAGGCGCUGGAAUUCCUUGCACAGAUCAGCAGCGAUGGUCGCACCACGUACUACGCGCCGUCGGUGCGGGGCCGGUUCAGGAUCUCCAGGGACAACGGGCAGAGCUCGGUGACGCUGAGCAUGAACAACCUCCAGGACGAGGAUUCCGGGGUUUAUUUCUGUGCCAAAUCUGCUGGCAAUGAUUAUGGUUUUCCUGCUUAUGCCGGGCUCGCUCUGGCCCCGGCUGAGAGGGGAGAGUUGGGGCAGCAGGGGCAGAGUUUGGGGUGA